rnacentral:misc_RNA from 1 species
UACCUAAAACGUUGCUUCGGCGGGAACAGACGGCCCCGUAACACGGGCCGCCCCCGCCAGAGGACCCCCUAUCUCUGUUACUAUAUGUUUUCUUCUGAGUAAACAAGCAAAUAAAUUAAAACUUUCAACAACGGAUCUCUUGGCUCUGGCAUCGAUGAAGAACGCAGCGAAAUGCGAUAAGUAAUGUGAAUUGCAGAAUUCAGUGAAUCAUCGAAUCUUUGAACGCACAUUGCGCCCGCCAGUAUUCUGGCGGGCAUGCCUGUUCGAGCGUCAUUACAACCCUCAGGCCCCCGGGCCUGGCGUUGGGGAUCGCACGCCGUCCCCCAAAUACAGUGGCGGUCCCGCCGCAGCUUCCAUUGCGUAGUAGCUAACACCUCGCAACUGGAGAGCGGCGCGGCCACGCCGUAAAACACCCAACUUCUGAA